CUGCAGUGAUGUUGUGAAUUUCUUCACCUGAAGAGCUCCCAGGGCUCUCUGUGUGGAUUAAACGGAGCUUUUUAAAUCUGAGCAGG